UCUGUUAAUGACAGAGGUAUUUUUAGU
rnacentral:sRNA from 1 species